CCUACGGGAGGCAGCAGUGAGGAAUAUUGGUCAAUGGUCGGGAGACUGAACCAGCCAAGCCGCGUGAGGGAUGAAGGUACAGAGUAUCGUAAACCUCUUUUGUCAGGGAACAAAGGCGGGGACGCGUCCCCGGAUGAGUGUACCUGAAGAAAAAGCAUCGGCUAACUCCGUGCCAGCAGCCGCGGUAAUACGGAGGAUGCGAGCGUUAUCCGGAUUUAUUGGGUUUAAAGGGUGCGCAGGCGGCCUGUUAAGUCAGCGGUCAAAGCCCGGGGCUCAACCCCGGCGCGCCGUUGAAACUGGCAGGCUCGAGUUGGAGAGAAGUAUGCGGAAUGCGCGGUGUAGCGGUGAAAUGCAUAGAUAUCGCGCAGAACUCCGAUUGCGAAGGCAGCAUGCCGGCUCCACACUGACGCUGAGGCACGAAAGCGUGGGUAUCGAACAGGAUUAGAUACCCUUGUAGUC
rnacentral:rRNA from 1 species